rnacentral:rRNA from 1 species
UCGGUGUGUACAAGGCCCGGGAACGUAUUCACCGCGGCAUGCCGAUCCGCGAUUACUAGCGAUUCCAACUUCAUGCACUCGAGUUGCAGAGUGCAAUCCGAACUGAGAUGGCUUUUGGAGAUUAGCUCGACAUCGCUGUCUCGCUGCCCACUGUCACCACCAUUGUAGCACGUGUGUAGCCCAGCCCGUAAGGGCCAUGAGGACUUGACGUCAUCCCCACCUUCCUCUCGGCUUAUCACCGGCAGUCCCCUUAGAGUGCCCAACUGAAUGCUGGCAACUAAGGGCGAGGGUUGCGCUCGUUGCGGGACUUAACCCAACAUCUCACGACACGAGCUGACGACAGCCAUGCAGCACCUGUCUCCGAUCCAGCCGAACUGAAGGAAAACAUCUCUGUAAUCCGCGAUCGGGAUGUCAAGGGCUGGUAAGGUUCUUCGCGUUA